rnacentral:rRNA from 1 species
AUUGAACGCUGGCGGAAUGCUUUACACAUGCAAGUCGAACGGCAGCACGGACUUCGGUCUUGUGGCGAGUGGCGAACGGGUGAGUAAUGUAUCGGAACGUGCCCAGUCGUGGGGGACGACGUAGUGAAAAUUACGCUAAUACCGCAUACGAUCUAUGGAUGAAAGCGGGGGAUCGCAAGACCUCGCGCGAUUGGAGCGGCCGAUAUCAGAUUAGGUAGUUGGUGGGGUAAAGGCCCACCAAGCCAACGAUCUGUAGCUGGACUGAGAGGACGACCAGCCACACUGGAACUGAGACACGGUCCAGACUCCUACGGGAGGCAGCAGUGGGGAAUUUUGGACAAUGGGCGAAAGCCUGAUCCAGCCAUUCCGCGUGCAGGAUGAAGGCCCUCGGGUUGUAAACUGCUUUUGUACAGAACGAAAAGGUUUCUACUAAUACUAGGAGCUCAUGACGGUACUGUAAGAAUAAGCACCGGCUAACUACGUGCCAGCAGCCGCAGUAA